AGUGAACGCUGGCGGUAGGCCUAACACAUGCAAGUCGAACGGCAGCACAGUAAGAGCUUGCUCUUACGGGUGGCGAGUGGCGGACGGGUGAGGAAUACAUCGGAAUCUACUUUUUCGUGGGGGAUAACGUAGGGAAACUUACGCUAAUACCGCAUACGACCUACGGGUGAAAGCAGGGGAUCUUCGGACCUUGCGCGAUUGAAUGAGCCGAUGUCGGAUUAGCUAGUUGGCGGGGUAAAGGCCCACCAAGGCGACGAUCCGUAGCUGGUCUGAGAGGAUAAUCGGCCACGCUGGAAGUGAGGCACGGUCCAGACUCCGACGGGAGGCAGCGGUGGGGAAUAUGGGACAGAGGGCGCAAGCCUGAUCCAGCCAGACCGCGUGGGUGAAGAAGGCCUUCGGGUUGUAAAGCCCUUUUGUUGGGAGAGAAAAGCAGCAGGUUAAGACCCCGCUGUUCUGACGGUACCCAAAGAAUAAGCACCGGCUAACUUCGU
rnacentral:rRNA from 1 species